UGGUGGAGUGAUUUGUCUGGUUAGUUCCGUUAACGAACGAGACCUCAGCCUACUAAUUAGUUUGACGAAUGAUUUCAUUGGUUUGAACUUCUUAGAGGGACUACCGGUUUUCAACCGGGGGAAGUAUGAGGCAAUAACA
rnacentral:rRNA from 1 species